GAUGAACGCUGGCGGCGUGCCUAAUACAUGCGAGUCGAGCGAACAGACGAGGAGCUUGCUCCUCUGACGUUAGCGGCGGACGGGUGAGUAACACGUGGAUAACCUACCUAUAAGACUGGGAUAACUUCGGGAAACCGGAGCUAAUACCGGAUAAUAUAUUGAACCGCAUGGUUCAAUAGUGAAAGACGGUUUUGCUGUCACUUAUAGAUGGAUCCGCGCCGCAUUAGCUAGUUGGUAAGGUAACGGCUUACCAAGGCGACGAUGCGUAGCCGACCUGAGAGGGUGAUCGGCCACACUGGAACUGAGACACGGUCCAGUCUCCUACGGGAGGCAGCAGUAGGGAAUCUUCCGCAAUGGGCGAAAGCCUGACGGAGCAACGCCGCGUGAGUGAUGAAGGUCUUCGGAUCGUAAAACUCUGUUAUUAGGGAAGAACAAAUGUGUAAGUAACUAUGCACGUCUUGACGGUACCUAAUCAGAAAGCCACGGCUAACUACGUG
rnacentral:rRNA from 1 species